CCUACGGGAGGCAGCAGUGGGGAAUAUUGCACAAUGGAGGGAACUCUGAUGCAGCGACGCCGCGUGAGGGAAGAAGGAAUUCGGGAUGUAAAGCUCCAUCAGCAGGGAAGAAAGUGACGGUACCUGAAAAAGAAGCUCCGGCGAAAUACGUGCCAGCAGCCUCGGUAAUACGUAUGGAGCAAGCGUUAUCCGGAUUUACUGGGGGUCAAGGGCGCGUAGGGGGCGGAGCAAGUCCGACGGGAAAACCCACAGCGCAACCAUGGGACUGCUUGAGAAACUGCUCAGCUUGAGUGCAGGAGAGGCAAGUGUACUUCUUAGUGUAGCGGUGACAUGCUUAGAUAUUAGGAG
rnacentral:rRNA from 1 species